CAUUUGAAACUGGUGGACUUGAGUUGAGUAGAGGGGAGUGGAAUUUCAGGUGUAGCGGUGAAAUGCGUAGAUAUCUGAAGGAACACCAGUGGCGAAGGCGACUCCCUGGACUCAAACUGACGCUGAGGUACGAAAGCGUGGGUAGCAAACAGGAUUAGAUACCCUGGUAGUCCACGCUGUAAACGAUGUCAACUAGCCGUUGGUCCUAUUUACAGGAUUAGUGGCGCAGCUAACGCAUUAAGUUGACCGCCUGGGGAGUACGGCCGCAAGGUUAAAACUCAAAUGAAUUGACGGGGGCCCGCACAAGCGGUGGAGCAUGUGGUUUAAUUCGAUGCAACGCGAAGAACCUUACCUACCCUUGACAUCCAGAGAAUCUGUUAGAGAUAGUGGAGUGCCUUCGGGAACUCUGAGACAGGUGCUGCAUGGCUGUCGUCAGCUCGUGUCGUGAGAUGUUGGGUUAAGUCCCGUAACGAGCGC
rnacentral:rRNA from 1 species